CAGGAUUUGGCAGAUUUGUUCGAAAGAAAACCACAAAAUAUAUAAUUGAAAAUGAGAAAUUUGUUUUCUUUAAGCAACAGAGCACAUAGGGAAACAAGUUGGCAGUGGCGGUGAGUAGCAGGCAGCGAAAACCAAUAGCAUAACAUUUAGAUAGUGGAACUCAAAUGCGCAAUCAUAAUUCAGAGUGCUGCCAUCAUUAACCGACAAUUUGUAGAAUGCAGUCCACAAGCCAAGGUUGCACUUAUUUGAAUUGCUACUAAAUAGCUUGAAAAAGAUGAAGAAAACAAACUAAUUGAUGCAAAUAUGCACAUCAAAUAAAGAACAUAUGAAUCUAUUAAACUGGAAUGUUCUAUGAAAGAAAGUUCUAAAGCAAGAAAACAACCUUCUCCAGGUGAGCCUCUCUUGUUGCAUGAAAAGAUCUUAGAUAGUUUCUAAAUAUGCGUCAAGUGGGAACUGUAAAAAGUUCCAGGCUGGGAUACCAAACACUACCCUUCACACCACCAGGCUAAAUCGUUUAAAGCAUAAAUUUUUCCAAAUCUACGAAAAAAAAUGAAUUUAACAUAAUUUUUAUUAACAUUGCUCCAUUCUCAAGAGUGUAAAAAAGCAUAAGAGUCAAAAAUCUGAAAUUUUGCACCUCAUAAUCUCACCAUCGAAAAUCAAAAGCUACUUAAGGCCUAAACAAGGAUCAUCAUGAUCCGUAUCUAGCAUUUCACUAAGCAAGGAUCAUCAUGAUUUGUAUCUAGCAUUUCAUUCAUACACUAUAAUCUGUACAUCCAUUUUGCCACAUGAAAACCCAAUUUCUAUAACUAGCACAUUGUCUCUGAAAGCCAUACAUUUUUAGCAUCUGAAAGUCAUACAUUUUUAGCUUUUUUUUCCCUGGAUGUCCCUUUAUCUUCAAACUAAUUCAAAGCAAACCAUAUCAAAAAAUCAAAAUCACCAAACCCCUCCAAAAAAAUAAAAAUAAAAGAGAGAUAUAUAAAAGACUCGACGUAUUACCAAGAAAUGAAAUACAUUUUAAAUGCUAAAUGUACAAAACAAACAGUCAAUAACAAUCAUUUCAUUCGAUCAUCAAAGUGUCCCAACAAGAAAAUUUCAGGAAAAAAAAAAAACAAAGCAUUUGGGUAUCUAGGAAAGAAUUUUUUUUUUAAAAUAAAAUGAAAUGACAAUUAGAGCUUAAUGAUUAAAACCUUACCCAGCAGUAAAAGUGAUGAAGCACUUUCUGACUCACCGAGUCUGUAACUCGUUCUCUCGUGAUCCUUCAACUUACGUUCUCUGUCGGAGUGGAGCUCUCACAGGCACAGCUGUGGUCAAAAUGGCUAAACUGAGGUCAAUAGUUGCCAGCCGCGUCAAAAAUCAGGUGGUGAAUUUCCAAUGAUUUUUAUGAACCCACCC
rnacentral:lncRNA from 1 species